rnacentral:lncRNA from 1 species
AAUAUCUUCAAAGCGAGUUAAAAUUUUUAAUAAGUUUUUGUUUUUAACAAAAGCGUUUUGCCAUCUAAAACUUUUAAGAGCAGAAAGCACACAACUUAAAAUUGCCAAUGCUUACUACCCUAAGCAUCACAAAAAUCUUGCAGAGCAGGUGUAAAGAUAUUAAUAAUGAUCAAUAUCAAGCCAUUGUUCAAAUAACCAUGAACAUAUCAAAUUUUAU